GCCAUAGUACCUGCCUGUGAGGAUGUGGUCUUGGUGAGGAGGCCAGACCAACACCCAUGAACGCAUCACAAACCACAAAAGACCAUAGAAAAGCAAGCAUCACACUGUGCAUGGAGUGCAAGCUGGUGCAGUGGGAGUCCCAAGGACAGGAGGUGGACAGGACAAGGGCUUCAGCGCAGAGGACCACCUGCACAACACCACCGUGCUCAAGGGCUAUCAGUGAAGGAAAAGGGAAGAAAGGAACAAAUGGCCUGUGGCGGGGUAAAAAACAACUCCAGCUCUUCCUACCAGGCCAACUUUUGUGACUGGCUCCCAGGCUGCCUUGCCUCUGGGGUUCAAGGGAGGCUUGUCUUCUGAGAGUCGGUAGGAUUAGACAAAAACUCCAGCUCUGUUCCAAGGGUCUAUCAAUAUCCUCAUAGCUGGGUAUGUUAAGUGCUGGUAUAUUUACCCUGUUUAAUCAUGGUUCCAUCCCUCUGAAGAAAAAGCUGAUUACAGCCACUUGGGGAGAGAGAAAUAACAGUGACCUUCUGCAGAACCAGCGAUAACUUAUUCCUUAUAAGGAGUGGAUAAACAAAAUGCCCCACACUCAUCACUCAGGAAUGUGCACCUCUUUGUGUGUUCUUCCUAACAGUACCUAGUAAUUGGGCUCAACACCUCAGUGCAGCAUUUCCUGUCAUCUCUGGGACAGCAGAGUGGAGGUGACCUCCCUUCCCACUCAUUGGAGAGAACAUUAAUUGCUAGAGGUAAUCCUAACCAUAAAGUUUCUGGAUCAGAGUUGUAAUUGCAUUGAAUACGAAUAAAAGGCUGUUAAAAGGAA